UACGAAGGGGGCUAGCGUUGUUCGGAAUUACUGGGCGUAAAGCGCACGUAGGCGGGUUUGUAAGUAUGGGGUGAAAUCCCCGGGCUCAACCCGGGAACUGCCUUAUAGACUGCAAGCCUGGAGGUCAGGAGAGGCGAGUGGAAUUCCGAGUGUAGAGGUGAAAUUCGUAGAUAUUCGGAGGAACACCAGUGGCGAAGGCGACUCGCUGGACUGAUACUGACGCUGAGGUGCGAAAGCGUGGGGAGCAAACAGG
rnacentral:rRNA from 1 species